GAACCUGAGUUCUAAGGAGGGUACAAGAAAAAAAUCAACAUGGGUUCCAUGAUCAAAGAAGUUUGGGAAAUGGGCUAAAUGAAAGGACUUCCAAGGCCUUUUAUCUGCUAAUGAGAAAGAAAAAAGCCCUGUGAAAAACAAGCUGCUGUCCCUGCUAGAGGCAUCCUGCAAUCCGUGGAUGUUUAUCACCAAGCCAUUGUUAACAUGAGGAUCCAGUAUCUGCUGGAGGAGCCCCACCUUCUGCUACUAUUAUAUUCUUCAGAUGAGUAGAAGAGAGUGGGGAGGGAGAGAGCAGGAAGAGGAAAGGAAGAAUAAUGUCUUGAAAUUGAUGAUGCGUAUCAUAAAUUAUUACUCACCCCAUGUUUCCACCCUCGAGAUACCUCCAAACAAUCACCAUGCCACAGUGAACAUUCAGUAACAAAGAUUCAGCCAGGGUUUUCACCAGCUUGAAUGGCAGUGAUUCCAAUUAGGAAAAUAGAGAGAGGAGAGUUCAGAGCCACCCAGAAUGGCUCUUGCAAGACACGAAAUAAAGGCAGCAGCAACAGGGCUGAACAUUCCUCCUCCCUAACUCUCCCUUCACCAGUAGGAAACCCAGGAUAACUGCAAUCACUGCAGGCCAUCUGGCCUGAAGUUCUACCACUAGCAGCCCUCCAUGGGACCUUCUUAAGGAAGCAUGUCAACUCAGGUAAGGGAUGUAAGGGGAUGGAUGACCCUUUGAGACCAAAGUUGGAGCAAAAAACACCAGAUGUUCCUGUGCACUGCUCCUAAGAGAUGGUUCUGAAGAUCAGUUCAGGGAGAGGUCAAAAUACUGGACAGAAUCUCAGCAACGUGGAACCUCAAACUAAGUGACAGGCACUGACAACCCUUCCCCAAAGAAAACAAGCACAGACAUGGUUUGUGGUAAGCAGAAUUAUAAAGAUGAAUUCCCAUCUCCCUGUCAGAUUACCAAUAUGGUAAAUUACCAGAUUACCUGGUUAUUUAUUCAAACACUAAUACAGUUAUUGCCUUGAUGGAACCAUACAGAUACAAUUAAAAUCCCAAGUACCAAAUAAAUUGACCUUAAGACAAAGACUAAGUAAAUCACAUGAGCCCUCUGCAAGCAGAGAGUUUUUCUCCAGCUGGUAGCAGAA